rnacentral:rRNA from 1 species
UGAAUACGAGACGCUAAGGCGUCGAAGUAGUGUAUGUCAUACUUCCAAGAAAAGCUGCACUGUCAUAGAUAAAAAACGCCUGUACCAUAACCGACACAGGUGGGUAGGUAGAGUAUACUAAGGGGCGCGAGAUAACUCUCUCUAAGGAACUCGGCAAAAUAACUCCGUAACUUCGGGAGAAGGAGUGCCUUAUUCGUAAGGUUGCAAUAACAAGAUCCAAGCAACUGUUUAUCAAAAACACAGGUCUCCGCUAAGUCGUUAGACGAUGUAUGGGGGCUGACGCCUGCCCAGUGCCAGAAGGUUAAAGAAGUUGGUUAGCAAUUGCGAAGCUGAUAACUGAAGCCCUGGUGAACGGCGGCCGUAACAAUAACGGUCCUAAGGUAGCGAAAUUCCUUGUCGGGUAGGUUCCGACCCGCACGAAAGGCGUAAUGAUUUGGAUACUGUCUCGGAGAGGGGCUCGGUGAAAUAGACUUGUCUGUGAAGAUGCGGACUACCUGCACCAGGACAGAAAGACCCUAUGAAGCUUCACUGUAACUUGAAAUUGAAAUUGGACUUUAUUCGCGCAGUAUAGGUGGGAGGCGUUGAUUAUAAUCUUGUGGGAUUAUUGGAGCCAUCAGUGAGAUACCACUCUUGUAAUGUUAGAUUUCUAACUUUGAAUCAUUAUCUGGUCAAAGAACAGUUUCAGGCGGGCAGUUUGACUGGGGCGGUCGCCUCCUAAACGGUAACGGAGGCGUACAAAGGUUUCCUCUGAACGGUUAGAAAUCGUAUCUAGAGUGUAAAGGCAUAAGGAAGCUUGACUGUGAGACCUACAAGUCGAGCAGGGACGAAAGUCGGUCUUAGUGAUCUGACGGUACUGAGUGGAAAGGCCGUCACUCAACGGAUAAAAGUUACUCUAGGAUAACAGGCUGAUCUCCCCCAAGAGUUCACAUCGACGGGGAGGUUUGGCACCUCGAUGUCGGCUCAUCGCAUCCUGGGGCGGUAGUACGUCCCAAGGGUUGGGCUGUUCGCCCAUGAAAGCGGUACGCGAGCUGGGUUCAGAACGUCGUGAGACAGUUCGGUCCAUAUCCGGUGUAGGCGUUAGAAUAUUGAGAGGAGCCUUCUUUAGUACGAGAGGACCGAGAAGGACAUACCUCUGGUGUACCAGUUAUCGCGCCAACGGUAAACGCUGGGUAGCUAUGUAUGGAGUGGAUAACCGCUGAAAGCAUCUAAGUGGGAAGCCCACCUCAAGAUAAG